UUAGAGAGGCAAGCAAGGUGUUUCGUCGUCGUUCCUUAGCAACCACGGCCUGACGGGCUAGCUUAGUAGGCAGUCUCCUAGGUACCGGUACCUCUCCAAGAAGUGCCGCGAGCAGAAGACGCUCCGCGGCGACCUGCCGAUGCCGUGUAGCCACGAGUGGCGGCCGCGCUACCUGUCCGGCCAGAGACGGCCGCCGUCGCGCUGCUUCGGCCGCCACCGAUUGUUCUGCCUGAGAGUCUUCCUCGUCCCUGAGAAGUUGCCGUUCGGCUGCCGCGUCGCCGCGGGACGCAAGCUCGAGCGCAAGCUGCCACAGUUGACGAAGCUGUGGCAGCAGUACGUGACUCGUACAGCGAAAGAGCUAAGAAUAUACAUAUCUUGAACCCAGUCGAUCUGACAAAACUGUGCUUGUUACGUUGGCUCUCCAACCCUUAAGAAGGAGGCCGCCACGAAAGGUCACGUGUAGUUCAUAAACGGACUUUUCAUGCGCUUAUUCUCUUACUGUCACUCCUCUGUUGUUAUGAUGCUCAGAGACGUACACACGUCUUAACACCUGAACACUUUUGUCUUACCUAUCCUUGAUUAAGUAAUUUAUAUACGGCCUCGGUUAAGCUCAAAAACUAAGGUCAGUUAAUUAUCAACAGUGAUCUACUCCUUUUGUGACUGUCUGUGGAAUACUACUAACUAAUCCUCUUCGUCUCUUUGCAGUAUAUGAAACUAUGAUCGUCUCGUGGGUCUUUCACGAGACAGGAUCAGAGUCGGAACGUCUAUUCGUACUCAUGCAAACACAUCGAGUAUUAGG
rnacentral:rRNA from 1 species